GGCCUGGCUUUUAUUAGGUAUAAUCGAAGCGGCCUCCGGCCGAAUCGGUUGACUCCAAAUAACUGCAGGACCGCAAAGGCCACGUGCCAGCGGCGAAUCGUUCAAGUGUCUGCCCUAUCAACUUUGGACGGUAGUGUACCGGACUACCGUGGUUGUAACGGGUAACGGGGAAUCAGGGUUCGAUUCCGGAGAGGGAGCCUGAGAAACGGCUACCACAUCUAAGGAAGGCAGCAGGCGCGCAAAUUACCCAAUCCCCGAUCGGGGAGGUAGUGACGAAAAAUAACAAUUCGGGACUUCGGUUCCGUAAUUGGAAUGGGUACAACCCAAAAAAUUGUGCGAGUAACAAGUUGUGGGCAAGCCUGGUGCCAGCAGCCGCGGUAAUUCCAGCGCAACUAGCGUAUGUGCGUGUUGCGGUUAAAAAGCUCGUAGUUGGGAUCUGGGUGCACGUUCCGUCGAUUACAUGUUGAUUUACGGAAUGGCAUUCUUCUCUGCAUUGAACCAAUGCCCUUAAACAGACGUUGGGGGAAAAUGUAGUCCCAUUUUACUUUGAAAAAAUUAGAGUGUUUAAAGCGGGCG
rnacentral:rRNA from 1 species